GUGUCAGCAGCCGCGGUAAUACGGAGGUGGCAAGCGUUGUUCGGAAUUACUGGGCGUAAAGGGCGCGUAGGCGGCAAGGCAAGUCAGGUGUGAAAGCCCCGGGCUUAACCCGGGAAUUGCAUCUGAAACUGCUGUGCUUGAGUUCUGGAGGGGGUAGUGGAAUUCCCAGUGUAGCGGUGAAAUGCGUAGAUAUUGGGAGGAACACCUGCGGCGAAGGCGGCUACCUGGACAGAAACUGACGCUGAGGCGCGAAAGCUAGGGGAGCGAACGGGAUUAGAUACCCCGGUAGUCCUAGCCGUAAACGAUGGGCACUUGGUGUUGGGGGUAUUGAGUCCCCCAGUGCCGGAGUUAACACGUUAAGUGCCCCGCCUGGGGAGUACGGUCGCAAGACUGAA
rnacentral:rRNA from 1 species